rnacentral:misc_RNA from 1 species
AAGUCGUAACAAGGUUUCCGUAGGUGAACCUGCGGAAGGAUCAUUAACAACAUAUCCUAACUAAAAAACCCUGUGAACUUUCAACCCCAAGCUCUUGAUCCGAGGAGUUCAGCAAUCUCUGGUAAAUCACGUCGAACGGUUUGAUUCAGAGACCUCUGCGUUGUGGAUGACUGCUGACGCUAAAGGUGCAAUCGAGCGCUAGGAUCAGUGGUUUGGUUUCCCCUCAAACCACUUCAAUGAAUGACAGCGUCAUUGAAGUGUGAUGGGGAGGUCGCUUAACGCACGCUGUAGGCUCACACGAGCCGGCGUCCAAAUCACCGGGCGCAAGCCCCCCUAAAACCACAUGUCAGCGUAGGCCCUUCUGUCGUGGUUGGGCGUAAAAACGAACAACUGUUAACAAUGGAUAUCUUGGUUCUC